CGGCGGACGGGUGAGUAACACGUGGGUAACCUACCUAUAAGACUGGGACAACUUCGGGAAACCGGAGCUAAUACCGGAUAAGAUAUUGAACCGCAUGGUUCGAUAGUGAAAGAUGGUUUUGCUAUCACUUAUAGAUGGACCCGCGCCGUAUUAGCUAGUUGGUGAGGUAACGGCUCACCAAGGCAACGAUACGUAGCCGACCUGAGAGGGUGAUCGGCCACACUGGAACUGAGACACGGUCCAGACUCCUACGGGAGGCAGCAGCC
rnacentral:rRNA from 1 species